UGUGUGUGUGUGUGUGUGUGUGUGUUGCACAUUUACAAAUCAUAAUUAAGGAAACAUAUUCUGUUCAUUAGAAUUUAGAAAUAUUGGAAAACACAAAUGGGAAAAUUAGAACCUCUUAUGACACUUAAGAGCUAGGGGGACACCACUAGCCAGCUGGUCUGGGGCAUAAACUAGGAUUAUCCUGAACAAACUAGAGUCUCCACACCCCUCACCUAAAACCGUGAGUUACGAUGAGCUGUGAACCACAUGCUGGGGACUUGGCUGCCAUUUUUAUCUCUUGGCAUACAGGCAAGUGUAUUUUUACAUUGUGACCUUUUUUCACUU